rnacentral:misc_RNA from 1 species
GUGUGUCAGUAACCUGGCCAACUAUGAUGCCAGAUGGUGGAUAUGAGAACUUGGGCAUGCUAGACACUAAUAAUGAUGUGACAAUAUUUGAAAAUGAGAGAGAUUUUCUGAACACAUUAUUAAACACCUAUCAAUAUCCGAUCUUUCGAUAACUAAUGACUGUUUAAUGAGAGAAAUAUUAUGCAGUAUCAUAACAUUACCAAUAAACAAUAUGGAUAAUCAAGUAAUCAAAACCACAUAAACAGGAUGUGAAUAGUUAAAUUCUUUAUCCUAUGAAAUAAUAAUUAAAAAACGUGAAUAUGAGCUGUUGCAUAUAAUUAUAAUUGGCCUCAAAGAAAAUUCUCUUAUUUAUUAUUUGUGUUGUAUCAAACACAAGAGUCUUGUAAAAAAAUGAAAAAAUUUGUGGACAUGUUUUGACAUGCCUACACGUUCCAGCAAUGUGUCAUUUGCAACAUAAGACUGGAUACUGCAGAGGCCCCUUAAGAGAAGUCUGCAUGCUUCAAAACUAGCCACGAGAAUUUGGUGAAUAUAAAACAAUAUAAGGACAUACCUCAUCUAUAUCUCCCAAAG